AGUAAAUGUAAACAGACUUGUGGUGCUCGUAACUGGUGUUGUGCAGGGGAAGAAAUGCUGUGCGAACCCUUUAGUGAGGCUGUGUUUAUUCCCCAGAGCUGCCAGGAGGAUUGGCCUGGGAGUGUUGAAAGAGGCGGCCUAGUGAAGGUGAGGACGGCACCGGCACGGCAAGCACGGGAUAGACUUCCAAGAAACAGACAACACUCGCUGACGCCAGCAGAGUGGUACUCACGAGAACACUCCACUCUUGACAACGGCGCCCUCGGGGCCGUCGGGGCUGCCGUGCUGGGAAACAGAGAUGCCGUUGCUGGUCUUCACGUC